UGAAGCUUGCUUCAAGUGUGCAAGCUUUCUCAAAACAGCUGAAAGAUGAUGAUAAGCUUAUGCUUCUCCUGGAAAUAAACAAGCUUGUUCCUCUAUGCCACCAGCUCCAGGCAGUAACUAAGAUACCUUUGCAGAAUCAAGUGUUUCUAAAGGUUGAUAAGAGUAUUACAAAGACAAGAUGCAUAAUGGCUACUUUGGUCCAACUUCUC